UACGUAGGUGGCGAGCGUUGUCCGGAUUUACUGGGCGUAAAGCGCGCGCAGGCGGACUGAUCAGUCUGGGGUGAAAUCUCACGGCUCAACUGUGAGCGGUCCCUGGAUACUGUCAGUCUUGAGAUGUCUAGAGGAGAGCGGAAUUCCCGGUGUAGUGGUGGAAUGCGUAGAUAUCAGGAGGAACACCGAUGGCGAAGGCAGGUCUCUGGGCCACUACUGACGCUGAGAAGCGAAAGCAUGGGGAGCGAACAGG
rnacentral:rRNA from 1 species